rnacentral:rRNA from 1 species
GACGAACGCUGGCGGCGUGCUUAACACAUGCAAGUCGAACGGAAAGGCCCUGCUUUUGUGGGGUGCUCGAGUGGCGAACGGGUGAGUAACACGUGAGUAACCUGCCCUUGACUUUGGGAUAACUUCAGGUAACUGGGGCUAAUACCGGAUAGGAGCUCCUGCUGCAUGGUGGGGGUUGGAAAGUUUCGGCGGUUGGGGAUGGACUCGCGGCUUAUCAGCUUGUUGGUGGGGUAGUGGCUUACCAAGGCUUUGACGGGUAGCCGGCCUGAGAGGGUGACCGGCCGCAUUGGGACUGAGAUACGGCCCAGACUCCUACGGGAGGCAGCAGUGGGGAAUAUUGCACGAUGGGCGGAAGCCUGAUGCAGCAACGCCGCGUGCGGGAAGACGGCCUUCGGGUUGUAAACCGCUUUCGCCUGUGACGAAGCGUGAGUGACGGUAAUGGGUAAAGAAGCACCGGCUAACUACGUG